UUUGGAGUGGAAUAUCCUAAUUCUGUGGAGCUCUUCGUGGAAUUGCUAGUGACCUCUGUCAUAAAGAGGCUGUUUCUUUGGAGAAACUUGCCUAGGACAGUUUGUACCAGAAAUGAUCCUAGAAAUCACAUACGAAGAUGGCAAUUUGGAUUGUGUUAUCUGCUGCCUGGCUGAAUAUGAGGACCACAUCACUGGAGAUUAAGUGGCAAGAAAAGUUCUCCUCUGCAGGGGAUAAACAGACUUUCACUUUUAAGGAUAAAGGAAGACUUCAAAUGCUACAUUUAAAAUUCCAUAUCCAACUGAUAUUAAUAUGGUUAAGAAGAAAGAAUGUGGACCUCGAUCAAAUGGAGAGUAUUAUAUCCAUAAGAAUUUCACACCACAUAUUUUUUUUACAUUUUCCAAAUGAAGUAGAAAUCACCUCAAAAUCAUAUCAAUAUUAUUGAUACUAAAAUAUGUUAAAAAUAAAUUCUAUGGA